rnacentral:miRNA from 1 species
GUUUAAGAGACGCCAGCAUGUGGACCCCCCCCCAAAGGGAGGGGGGCCAACUCUCUCCUCCAGACGGUUCUCCUCCUCUCCCUCCUCCCAG